AAUGGGCGCAAGCCUGAACCAGCGAUGCCGCGUGUGCGAAGAAGGCCCUAGGGUUGUAAAGCACUUUCAGUCGCGAAGAAACUCUCAAGGUUAAUAGCCUUGAGCAUUGACGUUAACGACAGAAGAAGCACCGGCUAACUCCGUGCCAGCAGCCGCGGUAAUACGGAGGGUGCGAACGUUAAUCGGAAUUACUGGGCGUAAAGCGCGCGUAGGCGGUUUGUUAAGUGGGAUGUGAAAGCCCCGGGCUUAACCCGGGAACUGCAUUCCAAACUGGCAGACUAGAGUAUGGUAGAGGGAGGUAGAAUUUCCUGUGUAGCGGUGAAAUGCGUAGAUAUAGGAAGGAAUACCGAUGGCGAAGGCAGCCUCCUGACCAAUACUGACGCUGAGGUGCGAAAGCGUAGGGAGCAAACAGGAUU
rnacentral:rRNA from 1 species